GGUCAGCAGCAGCCCCACGCACAGCAGGAGAAUCUUCAUGGUAUGGCCACCUCCAAUUCUGGAAUCCUAGCAGGUCUGUCUGGCCCCCUCGCUACUCC